rnacentral:lncRNA from 1 species
GUUGAUAACUUACCCUAUGCUGAACUGAAUCAUUCUUUGGAUUGCACUGCUGUUACUCAUGAUAAGGAAUUCGUACAAGAAGAUGGUAGCGAUGAAGAGGCGGACAGUUAUGUGCAGCUGGAGUCGCUCAGAAAGAUACAAGGAAAGUGUAAGAAAAUAUUGCACAAAAAAGUGAAAUUCAAGACCCUUCACAGCACCAUGGCAGCCCCAGAUGUUACCCCUUGUGAUGGCUCACUGCUCCAGGAGACCCUCCAGAGGACAGGAGAUGAGAGGAGAUUAAUGUUGAGAAAAGAGAUGGAUGCAGAUGUCAAAGGAUGCCCUCUAUUUCCUCUUGAGAUAAUUCAGACAGAUGCCUGCUCAGAUACUUUCUGUGGAGCAGAGCCCAGAAGAGGAUGCUGA